CCAGCAGCAGCAACCCGCUCGGGUCCCCUUCCACGCUGUGGAAGCUUUGUUCUUUUGGUCUUCAUAAUAAAUCUUGCUGCUGCUCACUCUUUGGGUCCGUGCCACCUUUAAGAGCUGUAACACUCACCACGAAGGUCCGCGGCUUCAUUCUUGAAGUCAGCGAGACCACGAACCCACUGGAAGGAACCAACUCUGGACACAUCUUGGGGGCUUGUCUGGGAUAUCGCCUUUUGGAUUGAGGCCAUCAAGCUACAGAUGAUCUUACAAAUGGAACCCCAAAUGAGCUCAACUAACAACUUCUACUGAGGACCCCUGGACCAACCUGCUGGCCCUUUCACUGGCCUAAAGAGUUCCCCUCUGGAGGACACCACAACUGCAGGGCCCCUUCUUCGCCCCUAUCCAGCAGGAAGUAGCUAGAGCGGUCAUCGCCCAAUUCCCAACAGCAGUUGGGGUGUCCUGUUUAGAUGGGGGAUUGAGAGAUGAAGUCAGCUGGACUUCCUGGGUUGAGUGGGAACUUGGAGAACUUUUCUGUCUUACAAGAGGUUUGUAAAAUGCACCAAUCAGCACUCUGUAAAAAUGCACCAAUCAGCGCUCUGUAGCUAGAGGUUUGUAAAAUGCACCAAUCAGCACUCUGUAAAAUGGAUCAAUCAGCACUCUGUAAAAUGGACCAAUCAGCAGGACAUGGGCAGGGACAAAUAAGGGAAAAAAUUGGCCAGCCCAGGCAGCAGCGGCAACCCACUCGGGUCCCCUUCCACGCUGUGGAAGCUUUGUUCUUUUGCUCUUCACAAUAAAUCUUGCUCCUCACUCUUUGGGUCCAAGACACCUUUAAGAGCUGUAACACUCACUGUGAAGGUCCGCGGCUUCAUUCUUAUUUUAACAUUUUUUAAUUUUAUUAUUUUUUUUGAGACACAGUCUUGCUCUGUCGCCCAGGCUGGAGUGCAGUGGUGCGAUCUCGGCUUACUGCAAGAUCCACCUCCCAGGUUCACACCAUUCUCCUGCCUCAGCCUCCCGAGCAGCUGGGACUACAGGCGCCUGCCACCACACCUGGCUAAUUUUUUUUGUAUUUUUUAGCAGAGAUGGGGUUUCACUGUGUUAGCCAGGAUGGUCUCAAUCUCCUGAACUUGUGAUCUGCCCGCCUCGGCCUCCCAAAGUGCUGGGAUUACAGGCCUGAGCCACUGCGCCCAGCCUGCGGCUUCAUUCUUGAAGUCAGCGAGACCAUGCACCCACCAGAAGGAACCAACUCUGGACAUAAGAUCACGGUUGAACCCUGGGCUGUGACCUUUUCCUUGAAGAGUGCCUGUGCAGAUGUAAUUAAGGAUCUUGAGAUUUGGAGAUCAUCCUGGACUAUGUGGGUGGACCCUAAGUCCCAUUACAAGUGUCCUUAUAUUAGACACACACAGCAGACAUGGAGAAGAGGAGGAGACGGGUGUGUAACCCCAGAGGCAGAGACUGCAGUGAUUUGGCCACAAGCCCAGGAACACCUGGGGCCACCAGAAGCUGGAAGAGCAGUGUCCCCAGAGCCUGGCACAGAGGUUGCAUAAAAAUAUUGCAGCUGGAAUAAAUGAACCAAACUCAGGUGCUGAUUACGGAGUCUCACACACUGCCCCGAGAUACGAGACCUCGGCAUCGGGGCACCCACCCCGGCCCGAGUGCAGACCUCAUCGGCUCCGCACGGUGACACUUUUGGGGACCUAUCCACUCAUCUUUACUCUGCUCGGCAGACAGCAACAGCCUGUCCCAAAUAGCCUUCCCGUUUUAGAGCGUUUUGGAGAACAAUGGAAAGGACGCUGCAGGCACCACCUGCUCCUGCCACGGCCCCUCUGCCAGCUUGGGGAGGCCCAGGGACGCUGACCUCACAGGGCCUAGGGCGGGCGGGGGGGCACCCCAGAGGCUUUGGUUUCAGGCUGUGUCUGUCCCCGCACACAGGGAAGGCUUUCGAGAUGGAGAAAAGAGGGACACAGUCUUUGUCGGGAAAUCGCAGCAGGUGGAGCAUCCAAGCCUCCUGUGGCCACGGGCUUCACCCCACCCUGGAUCCCUCCUCCCCACCUGCAGCACACAGGGGAACUGAGUCCUGGUGGUGUUGAGAGGAUGCUGGAGGCGAGAGGGCCCCAGAAAGGAGAGUCGGUGCUGGGGGCAGUAGGUGGAUGAAGCUUUUUUGUCAAGGGCACCCUCUGUUCAGGACACAAGCCCUCGGCACAGCAGGCAGGUGGACACUCCUUCUGCAGAGGGAACGCCGGGGCCCAGGGAGGGAUGGCCUGGCCGCGUCCCCCCGAGCCCUGGCUGCUGGGCCUGGGUUUCUCCGGGUGUCCCAGCCCCCGUCCCACCACAGACACCCAGGGCCCAGUCCUGGGUCCCACCCCACCUCCACCCACUCCCUGCAGGUGACUUCAUCCUCUAGUUCCAACACCUGCCAGCUGACGGCCCCUGACCACCUGCCUUGGGGCGGCCUCCCCAGACCCAGCACCUUCACCUGGACGUCUGGUGUUCAAAUCCAACCCCCUCCCAGCUCAACGCCUCCUUCCAGGGGCUCGGGUGAUCUGCGAAUCCUAUUGGCUCUGCACUGAAAAUGCAUCCAGAAUCCACCCACUUCUCACUACACCUGACCCCUGCCCUGGUCCCUAGCUUCUGCCCUUACCCCGUCUCCUCCCCACAGCAAUCACCAGAGGGCGCCUGUGAGCACCUGAGUCAGGGCCCAUCCCUCCCCUGCCCACACCCCUCCAUGGCUCCCACCUCCCUCAGGGUCAAAGCCCAAGUCCUUCCCGAGACCCACAAGGGCCUGCACACCCUGCCUCCCCUCCUCCCCCUCUCCCCUGCCUCCCUCUGCUCCAGCCACAGGGGCCUCUUCAUGUUCUUGCCGCACACCAGGCACAGGAGGGUCACCUCCCUGAGGGAGGCUCAGGUCUCCCGUGUCCCCUCUGCCGACUCCAGGCCUGGUGGGGCUGGGCACUGAGUGACCCAGGCCAGGACUGCUGGGUCCCAGUGGCCAUCCAGGGCCGUGAGCCCCAGCGCCUAGCACGUCUGCCAGCCACCACCACCACAAGCAAUGCUCUCGGGGCUCAGAUGUAACCAGAACCGGAUGGGGGACAGGGACAGGGCAGCUGCUGGCUGGGACGAGUGAGGCCAGGGCCAGGCCUCCAGAGAACUGAGGGGGAAUCAUGGGGUCCGCUGCCCCAGCCACCCAGCCUGGCCACAGCAUGAGGGGCAUGACAGCUGCCCCUGGGUGUGUGGGGGUGUGUUGGGGACCCUGGAGAGUGGGAGGGGAGGGACAUCCAGCUCUGGAAGCAAACCUUCUCCCGGGAGAACGGGGCGCAGGCAGCCCCACCCCAGGGAGGCCCCAACAUCAGUCCCCCUAGCACAGGCUCAGAAAUGAAGACACUUGCCGG
rnacentral:lncRNA from 1 species